CCUACGGGUGGCAGCAGUGGGGAAUAUUGCACAAUGGGGGCAACCCUGAUGCAGCGACGCCGCGUGAGUGAAGAAGUAUUUCGGUACGUAAAGCUCUAUCAGCAGGGAAGUAAAUGACGGUACCUGUCUUAGAAGCCCCGGCUAACUACGUGCCAGCAGCCGCGGUAAUACGUAGGGGGCAAGCGUUAUCCGGAUUUACUGGGUUUAAAGGGAGCGUAGACGGCAGCGCAAGUCUGUAGUGAAAUCACAUGGCUUAACCAUGGAACUGCUUUGGAAACUGUGCAGCUAGAGUGCAGGUGAGGUAGGCGGAAUGCCUAGUGUAGCGGUGAAAUGCGUAGAUAUUAGGAAGAACACCGAUGGCGAAGGCAGCUUACUGAACUGUAACUGACGUUGAGGCUCGAAAGCGUGGGGAGCAAACAGGAUUAGAUACCCUUGUAGUC
rnacentral:rRNA from 1 species